CUUUGUUGAUAUAUCCAAAUUAUUUUAUUACCCCCACUGACGCAGCCCCAAACAGUUUCUUUAGAAACUAUCAGCAUUUAUACAAGGAAUAGUAUUUGUUAAGUGGAUCAAUGUAAGUUUCUAAGCAAAUGCACACCCACCCCUCCCCUAACAGUACAUUAACAUUAACUUGUUUUUAUUAAACUAUUCGGUUAAGGAAGGGGUGGGGGUGCACAGUUGCUCAGAUACAGAAAUUCAACUGUAAAAAUUAACCUACAUCAGACUGCAAGAUGACAAUGCAUUACCAUCAUUGCAACUGUUGUCACCCUGAUCAUCAACAACAUAUUGCCAUCACCAGCAUUACUGCCAUAACCAUCACUUCCAUGCUGUGGCCAUUUGGCAUUAAAUAAGAAUGGAUCCUACUUUACUUUGUCUCAGAUACUAUGUUUUCAGACCAGCAAACAUGCUUAUGGCUGAGGACCUUGAAGAAAAGAUGCAUCCAGCAACAAACUCAAUUAUUGUCCAUCAAAUACAAUUUUUAUGGAUGCCUCUUUUGGAAUAUUGAACUUAUGUAGUCUAGUGUGAAAUUGCUAUCACUAUAAUUUAAGUUGGAACUAAAUACAUUCUUACAUUCUACUCAGAUCUUUCUGCUAUAAACACUAGAAAUAACCAAAGAUUAAGAAGCUACACUGUUUGGACAUUGAAGCGAUUCAUUUUCAUGUAUCAGUCAGUGAAAGAUAGUACCAUUACAAAUAAUUAAGUGAUAGCAAGAUCUGUUAAAGUAUUUACCAUUUUGAGUUGCUUUUUGCAAGAGUUCCCUACAGACCUAGUGAAAUAAUUCCCUUCAGCAUUACACAAUCCUGACAGAUUACAGUAAUUCAUAUACUCGUUAAAACUAGUUAACAAAAAGAACAGCAAUUGUUCUCCAUUUGCAUUCCAAAUAAUCUACUGUGAUCAUGUACCUAAGUUUGUGCCAUGUUUCUAGCAACAAAUUCUCCAAAUAAUAUACUAUAAUCAUGUAUCUAUAUAUACAAUGAAGGUAUGUUAAUUACAAAUGUUGAGAAAAAUAAUUAAAGGUAUGUUAUUCA